UCGGGAAUUUUGGGCAAUGGGCGAAAGCCUGACCCAGCAACGCCGCGUGAGGGAUGAAGUAUUUCGGUAUGUAAACCUCGAAAGAAUGGGAAGAAUAAAUGACGGUACCAUUUAUAAGCUCCGGCUAACUACGUGCCAGCAGCCGCGGUAAUACGUAGGGAGCAAGCGUUGUUCGGAUUUACUGGGCGUAAAGGGCGCGUAGGCGGCGCGGUAAGUCACUUGUGAAAUCUCUGAGCUUAACUCAGAACGGCCAAGUGAUACUGCUGUGUUAGAGUGCGGAAGAGGCAACCGGAAUUCUUGGUGUAGCGGUGAAAUGCGUAGAUAUCAAGAGGAACACCUGAGGCGAAGGCGGGUUGCUGGGCCGACACUGACGCUGAUGCGCGAAAGCCAGGGGAGCAAACG
rnacentral:rRNA from 1 species